AUAGAUAGGGGUUGUUUUAGUAGUUUGUAACAUAUAUGUGUUUUUCUGUUUUUGUACUUGUGCCAACUGAAUUUUCAUGCUAUGUUUCUUGUUAAUGAAAUGAAUCUUAUUGCUUCUACAUACUUGUCCAAUGUGCUUUCUUAUAUAUGUCCUUUUUUAAUGAGAUUAAAUUGAAGGGUGAGAUUUUGGAUGAUGGUAUUUAUGUGAUAGAAUGGUUUUGUUGGGGAAUUUACUGUUGGGUUUCUCCACAAAGUUAUAUUGCCUGUUAAGAUGGUUCUGUUGUACUUUGGCGUUCUUUGCAAUGCACUACCAUGUUUCCUCAUAUGCUAGUUGUGUGUAAUUGUGUUUCAGAUUAAGUGAAAGAGCCUACUUUUUUAGAUGAAUUGUGUAAAUGCGUGUGUGAUGAUAUCUUCAUAUUGGGUUCAUUUGACUAAAAUUGCUUGCGAAUGUGCCUGUGGCCGUGGAUAACCUUAUUUGUUUUGGAGCUGGUGGGUGAGGUGGUUUAAGUUGCAGCUAUGAGCCUAUGAGGGAGCAAGCUCUCUUUCUCUUUGGUGGCUAAAGAAAUUGUGAGGAACAAGGUGAAGAACACAAGUUAACUUUGGAUUUUUUCUGAAAGUUGUAAACUUAGCUUGAGCAAAAUUUCUUAUUGGUGGCUUUUAGGGGAUUUACUUUUGGCAUUACUUAAAGACAUAUGAGAACAUCUUCCGUUAGUUCUAAAAUAGGGUUUAGGUAGAGUUAUUGUAUGUAUUGCAAACAAUUAUUGUAUGGAAGGAGUUUGAAUUAGAUACUUGUUUUAUUUUUUA